AUUAUAUGACGCAGCUGAGAGCUUAAUCGCAGCAGUGGAUGACUACUGGUAGUUAUUUUAGACUAACCUAUCAGCAGUUAUACCACUGAUGUGCUAGAGCGUCGGAUUCGACUCCCCACCAA
rnacentral:precursor_RNA from 10 species